UUACGACCAUAUCACGUUGAAACACCGGUUCUCUUACGACAAUCGAAGUUAAGCAACGUUGAAACAGAUUAUUACCUAGAUGGGUAUCCGCGUGUGAAUACCAGAUGCUGUGA